rnacentral:rRNA from 1 species
GAUGAACGCUGGCGGCGUGCCUAAUACAUGCAAGUCGAGCGAACGGACGAGAAGCUUGCUUCUCUGAUGUUAGCGGCGGACGGGUGAGUAACACGUGGAUAACCUACCUAUAAGACUGGGAUAACUUCGGGAAACCGGAGCUAAUACCGGAUGAUAUUUUGAACCGCAUGGUUCAAAAGUGAAAGACGGUCUUGCUGUCACUUAUAGAUGGAUCCGCGCUGCAUUAGCUAGUUGGUAAGGUAACGGCUUACCAAGGCAACGAUGCAUAGCCGACCUGAGAGGGUGAUCGGCCACGCUGGAACUGAGACACGGUCCAGACUCCUACGGGAGGCAGCAGUAGGGAAUCUUCCGCAAUGGGCGAAAGCCUGACGGAGCAACGCCGCGUGAGUGAUGAAGGUCUUCGGAUCGUAAAACUCUGUUAUUAGGGAAGAACAUAUGUGUAAGUAACUGUGCACAUCUUGACGGUACCUAAUCAGAAAGCCACGGCUAACUACGU